AGUCGAACGGUAACAGGGUGCUUGCACCGCUGACGAGUGGCGAACGGGUGAGUAAUGCGUCGGAACGUGCCGAGUAAUGGGGGAUAACGCAUCGAAAGGUGUGCUAAUACCGCAUACGCUCUGAGGAGGAAAGCUGGGGAUCGAAAGACCUGGCGUUAUUCGAGCGGCCGACGUCUGAUUAGCUAGUUGGUGAGGUAAAGGCUCACCAAGGCGACGAUCAGUAGCGGGUCUGAGAGGAUGAUCCGCCACACUGGGACUGAGACACGGCCCAGACUCCUACGGGAGGCAGCAGUGGGGAAUUUUGGACAAUGGGCGCAAGCCUGAUCCAGCCAUGCCGCGUGUCUGAAGAAGGCCUUCGGGUUGUAAAGGACUUUUGUUAGGGAGCAAGUUCUGCAGGUUAAGAGCCAGU
rnacentral:rRNA from 1 species